GGGCCUUUAGCUCAGUUGGUUAGAGCAACUCCCUCAUAAGGAGUAAGUUCUGGGUUCGAAUCCCAGAAGGCCCA
rnacentral:tRNA from 1 species